rnacentral:rRNA from 1 species
AUGCAAGUCGAACGAGCGAGAGAGAGCUUGCUUUCUCGAGCGAGUGGCGAACGGGUGAGUAACGCGUGAGGAACCUGCCUCAAAGAGGGGGACAACAGUUGGAAACGACUGCUAAUACCGCAUAAGCCCACGGGUCGGCAUCGACCAGAGGGAAAAGGAGCAAUCCGCUUUGAGAUGGCCUCGCGUCCGAUUAGCUAGUUGGUGAGGUAAUGGCCCACCAAGGCGACGAUCGGUAGCCGGACUGAGAGGUUGAACGGCCACAUUGGGACUGAGACACGGCCCAGACUCCUACGGGAGGCAGCAGUGGGGAAUAUUGCACAAUGGGGGAAACCCUGAUGCAGCGACGCCGCGUGGAGGAAGAAGGUCUUCGGAUUGUAAACUCCUGUUGUUGAGGAAGAUAAUGACGGUACUCAACAAGGAAGUGACGGCUAACUACGUGCCAGCAGCCGCGGUAAAACGUAGGUCACAAGCGUUGUCCGGAAUUACUGGGUGUAAAGGGAGCGCAGGCGGGAAGACAAGUUGGAAGUGAAAUCUAUGGGCUCAACCCAUAAACUGCUUUCAAAACUGUUUUUCUUGAGUAGUGCAGAGGUAGGCGGAAUUCCCGGUGUAGCGGUGGAAUGCGUAGAUAUCGGGAGGAACACCAGUGGCGAAGGCGGCCUACUGGGCACCAGCUGACGCUGAGGCUCGAAAGUGUGGGUAGCAAACAGGAUUAGAUACCCUGGUAGUCCACACCGUAAACGAUGAUUACUAGGUGUUGGAGGAUUGACCCCUUCAGUGCCGCAGUUAACACAAUAAGUAAUCCACCUGGGGAGUACGACCGCA